rnacentral:rRNA from 1 species
AUGAACGCUAGCGACAGGCUUAACACAUGCAAGUCGAGGGGCAGCACAGGUAGCAAUACCGGGUGGCGACCGGCGCACGGGUGAGUAACGCGUAUGCAACUUACCUAUCAGAGGGGGAUAACCCGGCGAAAGUCGGACUAAUACCGCAUGAAGCAGGGGCCCCGCAUGGGGAUAUUUGCUAAAGAUUCAUCGCUGAUAGAUAGGCAUGCGUUCCAUUAGGCAGUUGGCGGGGUAACGGCCCACCAAACCGACGAUGGAUAGGGGUUCUGAGAGGAAGGUCCCCCACAUUGGUACUGAGACACGGACCAAACUCCUUCGGGAGGCAGCAGUGAGGAAUAUUGGUCAAUGGGCGCGAGCCUGAACCAGCCAAGUCGCGUGAGGGAUGAAGGUUCUAUGGAUCGUAAACCUCUUUUAUAAGGGAAUAAAGUGCGGGACGUGUCCCGUUUUGUAUGUACCUUAUGAAUAAGGAUCGGCUAACUCCGUGCCAGCAGCCGCGGUAAUACGGAGGAUCCGAGCGUUAUCCGGAUUUAUUGGGUUUAAAGGGUGCGUAGGCGGCCUUUUAAGUCAGCGGUGAAAGUCUGUGGCUCAACCAUAGAAUUGCCGUUGAAACUGGGGGGCUUGAGUAUGUUUGAGGCAGGCGGAAUGCGUGGUGUAGCGGUGAAAUGCUUAGAUAUCACGCAGAACCCCGAUUGCGAAGGCAGCCUGCCAAGCCAUGACUGACGCUGAUGCACGAAAGCGUGGGGAUCAAACAGGAUUAGAUACCCUGGUAGUCCACGCAGUAAACGAUGAUCACUAGCUGUUUGCGAUACAGUGUAAGCGGCACAGCGAAAGCGUUAAGUGAUCCACCUGGGGAGUACGCCGGCAACGGUGAAACUCAAAGGAAUUGACGGGGGCCCGCACAAGCGGAGGAACAUGUGGUUUAAUUCGAUGAUACGCGAGGAACCUUACCCGGGUUUGAACGCAUUCGGACCGAGGUGGAAACACCUUUUCUAGCAAUAGCCGUUUGCGAGGUGCUGCAUGGUUGUCGUCAGCUCGUGCCGUGAGGUGUCGGCUUAAGUGCCAUAACGAGCGCAACCCUUGCCACUAGUUACUAACAGGUAAAGCUGAGGACUCUGGUGGGACUGCCAGCGUAAGCUGCGAGGAAGGCGGGGAUGACGUCAAAUCAGCACGGCCCUUACAUCCGGGGCGACACACGUGUUACAAUGGCGUGGACAAAGGGAAGCCACCUGGCGACAGGGAGCGAAUCCCCAAACCACGUCUCAGUUCGGAUCGGAGUCUGCAACCCGACUCCGUGAAGCUGGAUUCGCUAGUAAUCGCGCAUCAGCCAUGGCGCGGUGAAUACGUUCCCGGGCCUUGUACACACCGCCCGUCAAGCCAUGGGAGCCGGGGGUACCUGAAGUCCGUAACCGCGAGGAUCGGCCUAGGGUAAAACUGGUGACUGGGGCU